UACGUGUGGGUCGAGCGUUGUUCGGUGUCACUGGGCUUAAAGGGCGCGUAGGCGGCGCGGAAAGUCGGAUGUGAAAUCCCCUGGCUCAAACAGGGAAGUGCAUCCGAAACUUCCGUGCUCGAGGCCGGAAGAGAGGAGCGGAACUCUUAGUGGAGCGGUGAAAUGCGUAGAUAUUAGGAGGAACGCCGGUGGCGAAAGCGGCUCCUUGGUCCGGACCUGACGCUGAGGCGCGAAAGCUAGGGGAGCGAACGGG
rnacentral:rRNA from 1 species